rnacentral:rRNA from 1 species
UACGUAGGGGGCAAGCGUUGUCCGGAUUUAUUGGGCGUAAAGAGCGUGUAGGCGGCUUUACAGGUCCGUUGUGAAAACUCGAGGCUCAACCUCGAGACGCCGGUGGAAACCGUAAAGCUAGAGUCCGGAAGAGGAGAGUGGAAUUCCUGGUGUAGCGGUGAAAUGCGCAGAUAUCAGGAGGAACACCGGUGGCGAAGGCGGGACUCUGGGCCGAUACUGACGCUGAGGAGCGAAAGCGUGGGGAGCAAACAGG